AGUCCAAAAUCACCUAAUCUCUUUGCCAAAAGCUGCUUCAACAAUCUCCCAUCUCCUUGAACUCUUGAAACUUGAGAAACAUAUUUGCUUUUUUCUUUACAAAAUAAACUCAGGUAAAUCUUGUACAUCAUCAACAAAGAUUAACAUAUAGUGAAAACCAGAAAAAGAGGAUGUUUUAGUUGGGCCAUACAAUUCACUAUG
rnacentral:lncRNA from 1 species